AAAUAAUAAGAGAAAAUGAGAUUGUUGGAAUGGUCUGGUGUGAUAAGCGACCACAACACUCAGUCAGCUGAGGGGAGUCUCUCUCUCUCUCGCUCUCGCGCGCUCAAGCCUCCACACCAAGAUCAUGGCAUCAGGAUACUCCCUUGUGAAUGGCGAGCAGAGGGGGGUAAGGGGGCAGCGAUCGUAUGGAACCACAAAUCCAACUGUGGGAUUUGCUCCUGCAGCAAGUUCAGCAACGGAAUUCUUUCAGGUUUGUCUUUGGAAGAAGUUGCUGAGUGGACUUCGAGCCAGCAUAGAGUGAGUUAGUGGAAGAGACUCCAAGACUGUUGAAGGAGUAGUGUACUCUGUGGGAGAGUAGCCAUACAGUGAAGAGUAGAACCUCGAGCU